rnacentral:rRNA from 1 species
GAUGAACGCUGGCGGCGUGCCUAAUACAUGCAAGUCGAGCGAACAGAUGAGGAGCUUGCUCCUCUGACGUUAGCGGCGGACGGGUGAGUAACACGUGGAUAACCUACCUAUAAGACUGGGAUAACUUCGGGAAACCGGAGCUAAUACCGGAUAAUAUAUUGAACCGCAUGGUUCAGUAGUGAAAGACGGUUUUGCUGUCACUUAUAGAUGGAUCCGCGCCGCAUUAGCUAGUUGGUAAGGUAACGGCUUACCAAGGCAACGAUGCGUAGCCGACCUGAGAGGGUGAUCGGCCACACUGGAACUGAGACACGGUCCAGACUCCUACGGGAGGCAGCAGUAGGGAAUCUUCCGCAAUGGGCGAAAGCCUGACGGAGCAACGCCGCGUGAGUGAUGAAGGUCUUCGGAUCGUAAAACUCUGUUAUUAGGGAAGAACAAAUGUGUAAGUAACUAUGCACGUCUUGACGGUACCUAAUCAGAAAGCCACGGCUAACUACGU